rnacentral:rRNA from 1 species
UACGUAGGGUGCAGGCGUUAAUCGGAAUUACUGGGCGUAAAGCGUGCGCAGGCGGUCUUUUAAGUCAGAUGUGAAAUCCCCGGGCUUAACCUGGGAACUGCGUUUGAAACUGGAAGGCUAGAGUGUGGCAGAGGGGGGUGGAAUUCCACGUGUAGCAGUGAAAUGCGUAGAUAUCGGGAGGAACACCAGUGGCGAAGGCGACUACCUGGCCUGUUCUUGACGCUGAGGCGCGAAAGCUAGGGGAGCAAACGGG